rnacentral:lncRNA from 1 species
AAUCUUAAUAAUAAAACUCUAGCAUGGAUAUGAUGAAUAGUUGCUCUGCCUAAUUUGCAAAUUUGAAGUUCUCUCUCAAGUUUAGACAUAACUGUUAUAAUUUAAAGCUUGCUCUAGAUCUAAACUUGUGGCAUGAAAACUUGAUCUGAAAUCUAAGUUGUUAACGGAUAUGAUAUGGGAAGGUUGAGCUGCUGUUUAUCUGUUCCCAGAGAUGCUAGAAUUCUGGAGAAUUUUAUCUUUGAAAAAUCUUUAAAAUAUUGCAUGAUGAGUUCCUGUAUGAUGAGAGUUUAAAUUCCUACCACAGCCAUAUAUACAUGCUUGCUAGACUUUGAGCCACACAUUUAUUAUUUACUGCUUAUGAGCAUUGAGUGUGGUCAAGCUGUGUAGACUCUUAGGAGCUUGUCAUGUGGUUAAAUCAAGAUUCACUUGCACGGUCACUCAUAUAUGCUACUUCUACUCCGGAAAUACCAUCCACAUAUAUCCAUCUCCAGAACCACCCAAAAAUAUUCUACUCCUAAUCCGGGAGAGAAUAGCCAAAAAUAUUUCUGUUUUCCCUUGUGAAAUAAAUGCUCAAGUUAUCUUGCUACUACCACUUGCUAUAUUAUCUCAAGAGAUGAGUGCUCUGAAAAGAAAAAAAAAAGAAAAGAGAAGAAAAUAAAAUAAAAAUAAUAAUAAACGAGGAAAUAAAAAGGGGCAAGUGCCCGAAACCUCGAAGAAAAGAAAAAGUGAGACGAGAGGUAAAAAUGGAUAAGUGUCUGACAGUAGAAUUAGGGGUACAAGAUACCCACCUGAGAGAAAAGAAAAAAAAAGAAAAUAUAGAGCAUCUCAUUCCCUUCAAAAAGCUUCAAAGUGCAAGAAAGGUAUGUAUCCCCUCAAAAAGAGCAAAAGUAGAAUUAGACUUUCACCAUUGUUAUCACCAUCAUCACCAUACACCAUUCAUUCACCACACAUGCACAUCUUGAUUUGGCUUAUUGAUUUGUUUCUUUGGAUCCAUGGUUUGACUGUACAAUAAAUGUCUUGUAAGUAUGUAUACUUUAUCUUCCACCUAUGAGCUCUAGAUAUUAAAGCCUUAUUAGAGUAGGGUGAGAGAGAAGGCAAUGUCACUAUGCCUUAUACCACAAAUACCACAUAUCUUGAGAGAAGGCAUAUACCAUCACUGCCUUGGUAAGGAUCCAGAAAUACCACAAAAGAGAGAUUUAGAGAGUCAUACAAGGAAUCUCUGAGUUUUAUUUGAAAAUCUGCAAAAACUCCAGAGCUAUAGCUGAUCAAGAAUAAGAGACAUGGCACUUGGCUAGACUGUUCUAUCUGUUAACUACUCAAGACAGAAGUGACGGUUACAAGUCCCAUGGUCAAAGGUAAAGUAAGUAAGUUUUAGUUCUUGACAGUUUACUCUAACUUGGAGAUGAGAUCUUAUUUAAAAGCAUGUGUACCGUCAAAAUUUUAAGAUAUUGCAACAACUUCUGAUCCAUUGCUGAGUCUAUCCUUGCUCAGGGACGAGCAAGAGGUAAGCUUGGGGGAGUUUGUUGACGGUCCUUAAGUAUCAAAUUUAAUUAUCAAAUAAACAAAGAAAAGGAUCUAAAUGAAAUCAACAUCUAGACUUAGGGUUUUAUCUGACAGAAUUCCAUGAGUUUUGGUCUUUGUCUAUUUCUGCAGGCGGUUAUCAGGAAAUAUGGAAGAAAGGACCACACGUCGGGAUUACAUAGAGAUAUUAACGUGCCACGCAAUUAUCUUACAUCUAGAAGACUCCUGAAGCCACGGGAAGGAAGCGGAGGCCGAACGGGGCCAGAGGCAGGGCGCCCGCCCUGACUUGGAGCCCAAUCAGGACUCUUUCUCUCGGGAGAUCUCCACCGACCUAAAGGAUCAAGAAUAACCGUUCAAUCAAUGUCGGUUUGAUCCGACGGCCUAGGUUCACUUGAGGGGACUAUAUAACCAGACCCCCUGGCCCUUGGAGGAGGCACCCCUUGAUCAUUAUUCAUUAUUCAUAGACAGAGCAAAAGCUAGGGUUUAGAGAUGAGAGCUCUCCUCUCUUCUCUAAACUAGAGUAGAUCUAGAUAGUAGCAAGAUGGCGAGUGAAGGAGGAUUAGAGGAGAGGCUGGCCUGUCGGUUCUUCCUCCGGUUGUACUUUGUCAUGAUCAAGAUCUAAUCAAGCUUGCUCAUGGGAUGACUCUGGUAAUCUACUUCUAAUUCAUUAUGCAAUUACUAAUCAUGUUGUUGAUAUUUGGGAACGCAAUAAGGAAUUGAUCCGCAAGCGCACGGAUAUCGGUGAGCACUUCACCCGGGAGGUUAUCCAGAGUAUCGUAUUUAUUUUUUUACCACUAGGAGAAAGAGUGCAUCUGACUAACCGGUCUAUUACUACUAACCCUUUAGGCACAAAGAAUGUCUUUCGAUGUGAGUGAUAAAUAGAGAAGACUGCAACCGUAGUCUCCUUCUAACCUUGGUAAGGAUGAUCUACUGUUCUAAUGGGGAGGCUAACGGAAUCUAGACAACACAAAGGAUGUUCGACCCGCACCUAUAAACCCUAUCCUUCCUGCUAACGAGAUGUGAUCUGCAAAGGUAACUCGGAAUUGUCACGUUCCUCACUACUACCACGGUCCAGCUAGUCAGGGAAUAUCUAUGAGUACCCCAGCCUAAACACCACGUUUACGCCAGGAAUGAUUACUCUAAACUCUACGCGAAGAGAUUAAAGUAAACUCAUAAACCAUAAGAACAAUAAAACAAGAACUUACUAGAAUUUAGAAGUCGAAAUACUGAAGAAUCCUAGGAGCAAGCUUCGGGUUAGGAGAACUUGAUCCCGCAUGUACAAGCUUGGAGUAGACACCGACAGGCCGGGCUUCCUCCAAUCUACACCUCCACUCUAUCUCUCUCAAUCUAGUAGAAACUAGAAGAUCUAUUUCUACCGUACAUUGGUUGCUAAGCCUAAAAAGAAAUAUUAAUUAGAGAAGAGGUUUUCCUUCGAGGGCACCCCUCAGUCUCUAUGAUAAUUUCUUCAUGUCUUCUCCAGGGGCCAGGGGGGUCUCCUUAUAUAGUCCUCCCCUUCUAUGCGUUUUUGGGUCGAUAGGCGAGGUGGUACUAUGUUUUUCUUGAUCCAAUAGGUCGGUGGAAUAUCCCGAGCGAAGAGAGUCCUGAUUGGCAUCCAGAGGGGGGCGGGCGCCCAGGUCACCAGGGCGGGCGCCCUGGGCCUGGCCCCUUUCGGCCUCCGUCUUCUUCCCGUGGCUUCUGGAGUCUUCUAGAUGGUAGAAAAUUGCGCGGUGCGUUGAUAUCUCUAUGUAAUCCCAACAUGUGGGCCUUUCUUCCUUAUUUCCUGAUAACCCCCUGCAAAAAUAGAUAAACAACAAAACUCGUGGAAUUCUGUCAGAUCAAACCCUAAUUCUAGGUGUUGUUUGCAUAUUGGUCUUUUCUCUUGUUUAUUUGAUAAUUAAAAUUGAUACUUAAGAACCGUCAACACAUGUAUGUUCUGGUUCACAACUCUUUUGAGUAUUCUAAUCUAUAGGACGCUAUAGGUGAGAGUUGUAGUAUAGGUGUAAGCGAGGUGCUUAGAUCUAGAUUACUUGUGGAUAUCCCCUGUCUAGCUGGACCGUGUGGUAGGCCGCGUAGGUGACAGUUACGUUGGUCCUCUGUAGUCCACCUCUCGUUAGCAGGACGGGUAGGGUUUAUCAGCCUAAGGAUAAGCAUCCUUUGUGGUGUACUCUUAUCACGUGGUUCGUCCCAGACAUAGACAUACCCCUUUGAAGUAGAGAAACCAUAGUUAUCCUCUCUAUUCUGCUACCAUCGCCCAUAUACUUGAAUUGCUCUAUUCUCUAUUCCAUAUUAUCACUCACUGUUAUCUUACCUUUAAUAUUGUUCUUAUUAGAUUCUACCAUCUUUCCUAUUUACACCUAUUUACUUAUCUUGGUUAAGUUAGAGCGUAGAUUAGUUCUCCCAUUUCCCUGUGGAUACGAUAAAACCUUUAACCGGGUAAAAGCUAUAACGGUAUCCGUGCGCUUGCGGAUUAUCUGUGUGCGUAUAAAUACCAUAGUACACUCUAGUGCCAUGCUGGGGAUGACAACCUAGUAUUCAAGUGGUGUUAGCAAGUGUCAACAGUUUCCCAAUGGACCGAGACAAUGGAAGUGAGGCUGAUCGGUAGGGAUCGCUAUAUUAUCGGCUAAUUCCUAAAGGGUUUAAAGAUUGGAAGAAAAAAAAGAGAGAAAAAAGUACUCAGUAAAUAGAUUUGCAGAUGAACAGGAGUACAGUAAAAGUAUAAAAGAAGGGGAUGGUAGGUUGACCUUAGGAACGAGGAAGUUGAUGGCCAUCUCUUCCCGGGGAGAAGAAGGAAUCGAGGACUUGGAAGAUCGAUGGAGGAAGUCCUUGUUGGAGUUCUUGAAGUUAUCAAGUAAUGCCGCCGCCAGAAAGGUGGGUAUGAGGCUGUAGAAUGACAGGAUGGAAGAAGAGUACCAGAGAAGGAAGUAUUUAUAGGACACCGAGGGAAGGGGCCAAUUUGACUUAUUUCUUUGCCGCAUCCGUGAAAUGCGAGGGUGUUCAGGUGGAUAUGGUAACUGUUCGCACGAUAAUCAAGGGAUUGUGGAGGUGAUUUGACGGCAAGCGGUCAUGAUUAUGGAGAUAUUUUACUGUGCGAGAUCUCCUGGUCGGUUCAUCGGCAGUCUUGUCUAACGGUAAUAUUGCCAAUGAGCGCAUAGUGGGGAGGUUCGGUUCGAGAGGUUGAGAAAUUCGAGGAACCUGCAGAAGAAUCGGGCUGAGGUUGUUUAGAUUUGGCGGCUGAUUACCAAAUUGGGAGAAGUAAUUGCGGAAAGGCGUCAUUACUGAGGAGAAUUUCGGAGCAUUAAUGAUUUUAUACUCCGAAAUUGGGGGGCAUGUGUUGACACCAUUUUCAGACACGUGUCUUUGGAUACGCACUUGGAGUUAAUAGAUCAGCAGAUAGGGCGAUGGUGACUAGUCGACAGGGGAGUUACCGAUGGGGGUUGGUGCCGAUGGGAGAACCACAGAAUAUGACUAAGUCCAGGAAGUAGUAAUGGGAUCGUGCCGAUGACUAGCACUGAUGGUUGCCGAUGACGGUGAAAGGCGGUCUGCCAAUCGGUUGUGGAGGAUAGUUUAAUGUUUUCCUUAGUUAUUAGAGUUCGUUUUGUAUACGGAUUCCGUUUGUUUUGGAAUUCGAGUUCUAGUCGUGUCUGGUUGUAACUCUUUGGAUAGGGUAUAAAUGUAGACCCUAGGGCAAUGUAAUGAGACAUCUAUCAAUCAAUCAAACAUAAGUUUUUACUCACAUUCUAGCAUCUACUUUUCGACGACUUCGUCAUAUUUUCCUUUUACUACGAGUUCUUAAGAAUUCGUCGAGUCAAACUCGGCGUGUUCUCAAGUUUCGCGUGAGCACCUCUUGGCCGUGACAUCCGGGCGCAUCGCUGUUGUUGGGACCAAAGUGUUCGAGUUACCACCUUUGUCGAUUGUAAGGUCAAAUCGGCUGGCACGCCUUAACGUUUGAAUCGGGUAUUAGCCUUUUUGUUUGCAGAUCAGCUUCAGUAUCAACAAUUCCUUACAUCGUUAUUAGGCCUAUAUUUAUAGUCUGUCCUAAAGAGUUACAACCAGACACAACUAGGAUUCUAAUUCCAAAUCAAACAGGACUCGUACGUAAAACAAACCCUACCAAUUAUGGAAAAUAACAAUACAUCCAUCCUGAGUGAUUGGCACACCGCCAUUGUAUUCCCGACCACUCCUACGUCUUCUUUCACCAUUAUCGGCAUAUCAUCUUCCAUCGGCAUCGGCAAUCGUCAAUAUCAACCAUCGGCACCGAUCAAUCACCAUUCCUGGACUUAACCAUAUCUCUCUCUCGCCGCCUUAUCAUCGGCAUCAUAGGCCAUCGGCAACCCCGUCAUUAGCCAGUCAUCACUUUUCCAUCUGUUGAUCCAAGCUUCAUUAACUUUCUUAAUUUGUGUUAGAAUACGGUGUCAACACAUGCCCCCCAAUUUCAGAGUAUAAAAUCAUUAAUGCUCUGAAAUUCUCUCCUGAUAAUGAUGCCCUUGUCACAAUUAUUUCCUUCUGACAACAAUUAAUUGCCAAAUCCAAACAACCUUAAUUCGGGUUUCUAGCAUGCACCUCAAAUUUCUCAACCAACCGAACCAAAUUUCCGAAACAUCCGCUCAUCGGCAACUAUUCUAUUAGAGUUGACUGGCGAUGAACCGACCAAGAGAUCUUGCACAGUGAAAUAUCCCUUAAAAUCAUGAUUACUUGCUGUCAAAUCACCUGUACAAUCCCUUGAUCAUCGUACAAACAGUUACCAUAUCCACCUGAACACCCUCGAAUUUUACGGAUACGGCAAGGAGAUAAUGCAAAAAUACCCCUGCUCACUUUAUCCUAUAAAUGCCUCCUUCCUCAGCACUCCUUCUCCAUCUUGCCAUCCUUCAUGCCCAAACUCAUCUCCCUGGUGGCGGCAUUAGUGAAGAGCUCAAGAACUCGUGCGGCAAGAAUUUUCCCAAGAAUCUCCAAGUCUCCAGCUCUUUCUCCUUCUAGAGAGAAAUGGCCUUCAACUUCAUCGUGCCUGAGGGUAAUCCACCCCCACCUUUUUAUUGCAAUUCUUUAUCCUUCUGCAAAUUUACUUACUUUGCUUUCUCUCCCUCUGUUCUUUCAAUCUUUAAAUAUUAGGAGUUGAGCGAGAAAAUUGUUAUUCCCACCGAACAACCUCACCUCCAAUGCCUCGGUCCAUUGGGUGACCCAGAUCCUACCGAUUUGAUUAAUGCAGAGACCAACAGAAUUCCUUUUAGGACUGAAAAUUUCUCUUUAUAUCUGUGGAAGGAUACCUUCCGAUCCUGGCCAAACCCCACUAAAGGAUUGGUUUUUGAGGGUUAGCAAAAACAAAUGAAGUAUAUUGGGGUGAGCGCAAGAUAGAUCAGUGCAUCAGAUUGUCCAUUGCCAAUAUGGAUAGAAACAAAUCACUGCUGAUAGCUGCCUCAUAUUUCUGGUCAGAUACUUUUAAUGCUUUCAUUUUUGGCCAUGGCCCAGCUUCCCCCACUCUCGCCGAUGUCCUCAUGCUCACUAGUUUAGACAUUGCAACUGCCGAUGAUGGCCAGUUGUUCGGCCGUAAAGCCGAACGCAAAGUAGAAACCCGCAACAUCGGCGACUGGUCAGGGUAUAUUCAGAAAUAUCAAAAAACAGGAUCGGUCGCUCAGAGGGAACAUUCCACUUUUCUGAACAUGUGGCUAGACAAAUUCAUCUUCUGCGGUCGAUCGGUAGGACCAACCUCCGUUUACUUAUCGGCAGCAGAAAGGUUAGCCGAUGGUGGCCGAUUCUCUCUUGGCCGAUACCUGUUAGGCUCUGUCUAUCAUCUUCUUCAUCAAGUGACUGAGAAACUCCUGCUAGGUGAACCCAUCGGCAAUCUAGGAGGCCCUUGGUGGUUCAUCAACAUAUGGCUUAAUGUUCAUAUGCACAAACGCCUUCGGUUUGACUUUUUUGCACAACGAUUCCCUCGAGACACUACCGAAGACUAUGAACUAGCAAACGAUGAAUCGACAACUCGCUCACCCCUUAAUUAUGGUGAAGCUGUCAUAGUCCUCCCUAGUACCAGUGGCAAUGAAAACCAGGUCGGCCGAUUCUUUCAAACUCUGUAUGAUGGCCUCUCCAAAGAUCAGCGAGCAUGGAUGCCUUAUGAAGACCCAGAAACCAGGUUUUCGCUCACCUUCCACCCUUUUGACAAUGCUCUCAACAAGGAUAAUGAUCUGAUGAUGGCAAUCAUCACUCCGAGAGCGAUUCCAGUCUACAGCUUUGGCAGCGGGAAGAACAUCAACACCACCUAUGUGUUUUACAACCCAUCGGCAUUGGCUCGCCAACUGGCCUUUGGUCAACUGCCGAUCAAACUUUGUUAUGCCGAUGUGGUAAAACCAAGAGAGACAAUAACCAGCGGACUUGAGUGGAUUAGGAUAGCUCAACUCCAGCCAGAUGCCAAUACGACAGACAUUGAUCUAUCGGCCUGGAUUCCAGCUCUCUUCAUUACUCAGUUGUAUAAACAUUGGUGGGAAGAAUGGAAGGAGCAUCUAUUCAGGGUAUCAGCUUAUACGUAUCGUGGCAUGAUCGACCCCGAUUAUGGAGUUCCCGAUGACAUCGUAAGUCCCCUACCGAUACCUCAGUUCCUCUGUCAAUUUUAACUUUAUCAGCAACUUACUUAUUCUUAUUUCAAUAGGUCAAUGACCCAGCGCCGACAAUUAGCAGAAGUGGGAGGCCGAUUGAACUUCUUCAAUCAGGCCCAAUUUCUUUGAUCGGCCAUAAUGCGCCGAGUCUAUCAGCUCUAAUGCACCGCAACCUUCGCUUCAAAAAGACGACCAAGCGGUCGAAGGUGUCUCCAUCGGUAGCUGCUGCCACUUUGGCUCAGGCUUUCAAGGUAAAUUAUUUGACUCUCCUUAUUUACAACCAUUUCAUCUCCUACUUAUAUUAUCCUUUCAGGGUACAUUGGCUGCAAUAGGAAUGUCAUCGGUAACUUCUUUAAACUUUUAUUCCUUAACAAAUUCCAUUAGUAUCUCUUUCUUAUAUCUAACUUAUGAAAUUUUGAUGUUCGUAACAGCAGCAGAAUGGUGCAUCGGCAAAGACCAAGAAGACUCAAACAUCAGGUGCCGAUGCCCCCCAGCCCAGUCAAGCUCCACCUAAGAGAAAAGGUCCAAAAAGCACCAAGACCCAGCCAAAGCGACAGAGGACCGCACUGUCUUCUCCACCUCGUCCAGCUUCCCUGAUCCCAGUAACAUCUCCUCCUCCUCCAUCAUAGCCCCAGACGCAAGAAAUACUAGCCGAUGUAUCUGAAUAGACCAGUGACCCGGUUGACCUGGGCACAUCAUCGGUCGUCCCUCCGGAGCAGGCAAUCACUAUACUGCCUCAAGGUAAAGCACCGAUUGCAAAAUUAUUACCGAUGACUUUAUUUAUAAACUAUAAUAACCCCUGGAAAUUUUCAGUUGAAGUCAUUUCAUCGGCAUCCCUAGACGAUCAAACUAUAGUACCAACUGCACCUCCUCGUCACAGACAGGAAAUCGCCCUGAAACAAGUAUGUUAUUCAAUUUUCAAGACUUUGCAUUAUCAACACCUAAUCUUGAGUAACUCAUCCUCUUCCUUUUCUAGGAGCAAGACUCCCCAGAUAGCCUAUUCUCCUUUGCUAUCGACAUCUCUGAUGAUGAAGGCGAAGAAGCAAGCUCAUCUUAGGCAAUUGGAAUCACAUCGGUAGAGAUCAAGGCCAAGUUGGAAGACCUACUAGCCCUGUUGCACCAAGACACGGCUCAACUAGUGGACGACUCCGAUCCGGCCAAAGUUAUAUUCAAGACCCUCCGCGGCCAAAUUCCAGCCGAUGUAGAAGAAAUCCUUUUCCAAGCUGCCCACCUAGAAAGUCGUCAACUCCAAUAUCAGAAGGCCGCCCAGUGCCUUGCCGAUAGAGCUGCUUAUGCCCAGCUCAAAGAGGAGAUGCUGCAAACAAAGCAUGCUGUCGAUGAGAAAUAGAAGAGCAUCGGUGUUCUGUAGUCCUCAGGAGAUGAGCUGAAACAAAAGAUUUCCAAUCUAUCGCUAAGAAGAGAAGCCCUGUUAGCUGAACUUAAGCAAGUGGAAGAGGCCCUGACUCAAGCUCAGCAAGAAGAAAGCCAACUGCCCGAUGCGCUCAAGAUUCUUUAGCAAGAGAGAGAUGUCCAAGCUCGCAAAGCACUACAUUUGAAGAAGUUGAAGUCAGUCGAUGGUUCUGACGAUCAAGAUACUCGAGAAAUAGAAGAGGCCAACCAGAUCCGUCUAUGUGCAAUAUCGGCAAUCUAGGCUUUGCUGAAUUUGUGAACUCUUCAUCAGCAACUUGUUUAACUCUGUUUUCAAAAACUUCAAUCAUUUUGGUCCAGUAAUAGGAUUGUUAUCGGCAUUAAAACUUCAUGCAUGGCUCCGGAUACACUUAACAUUUUGUCCAGCCGAUAGACUGUUAUCGGCAUUAAAACCUUCAUGCAUCAAUCCAGAUACUCAGGUAUUAUUUCUUCAAAUAUUUUCCAUUUAAUGCCCUAGGAAAUUCAACUCCUUUGAGAGUUUCUAAAAUAUAAGCAUUGCCAGGAGCAGAUCGAUUUUAUCCGAUAAGGACCCUCCCAAUUAGGGGACCAUUUUCCAAAUUUUGAGCUUUUAGUCCCAAUCGGUAGAAUCAGUUUCCACACCAAAUCUCCAUUGGCAAACUCUUUGGCCUUUACCUUUUUGUCAUACCACUUAGCAACUCUAUUUUUAUUUUCCUCUAUGCUGAUUAAUGCUCUCAACCGAUGCCCUGUCAAAUCAUCCAACUCAUCUUUCAUCAAAGUAGCAUAGUCAUCGGCAGUUUGCUGAUCCUGAGAAAACAUCUGCUUGGAUCUAGUUUUGAUUUCCCAUGGUAAUAUUGCGUCAUGUCCAUACACCAAUUGAUAAGGUGAUACUUUGGUUGAACCAUGACAUGCCAUCCGAUAUGACAAUAAGGCUUCAUUUAACAAUCUUCCAUUUAAUAAGCUUAAUAAUUCCUUUGUUAGAAGCUUCGGCCUGCCCAUUAGCUUGCGCAUAGUAAGGAGAAGAAUUCAACACUUUAAUCCCCAUACCGAUUGUAAACUCAUCAAACUCUCCUGAAGUAAACAUAGUACCCUGAUCGGUAGUGAUCGUUUGGGGAAUGCCAAAUCAGUAAACGAUAUGUUCCUUCACAAAAUCAAUCAUAUUGGCCGAUGUUACUUUCUUCAAAGGAAUAGCCUCAACCCACUUGGUGAAGUAAUUAGUGGCAACUAGGAUGAAGUUAUGUCCUUUGCUUGAUGGUGGAUAGAUCUGACCAAUGAGAUCAAUAGCCCAACCCCGAAACGACCAAGGUUUAAUAAUAGGAUUCAUAGCCGAUGCAGGCGCCCUUUGAAUAUUGCCAAACUUCUGGCACCCUUGACACCUUUUGAAAUACUUGAAACAAUCCUCCAGUAUAGUCGGCCAAUAAUAUCCAUUUCUCCUAAUCAUCCACUUCAUCUUAAAAGUCAAUUGAUGUGCUCCACAUACUCCUUCAUGAAUUUUGCCCAUCAAGCUCUUGGAUUCAUCUUCGCCUAAACAUUUGAGCAAAACUCCAUCUAUCGUUUGAUAAUACAAUUCUUCUUCAAGGAGUACAUACUUUGUAGCUUGAAACCUAACAAGCCUCUCAACUUUCCUAGAUGGAUCCUUUAAAUAAUCAAUAAUUUCUUUUCUCCAAUCAUCGGCACUGACUGCCGAUACUAAUAUCCCGAGGCAUAUUGAGCCAACCGAUUAGCUUCUUCAUUAUGUAACUGAGGAAUGUGCUCUAAUCAGAAAUCCCUAAAUUCUUUCAACAAUUGUACACAUUUCUCAUAAUAUGCUAUUAAAACCUCACUUCGGCAUUCAUAACUCCCAGCCAACUGGUUUAUAAUGAGCAUAGAAUCACCGAAAAUUUCAACAGCAUCGGCAUGAACUUCCUUUAAUAACUCUAAUCCUUUGAUCAGAGCUUGGUACUCAGCUUGAUUAUUUGUCGACGUGGCAACAAUCAGCAAAGAAAACUCAUACUUCUUUCCUCGAGGAGAAAUCAGCACUAUACUGAUACCUGCUCCCCGAUCACAUGUAGAUCCAUCAAAGAAGAGCGUCUAAGGAACAAUUUCCAAAGUAUCCACCACACCACAAUGUUGAGUUACAAAAUCGGCCAUGAUCUGCCCUUUAACUGCUUUAGCCGAUUCAUAAUGUAAGUCGAAUUCCGACAAUGCUAAUAUCCAUUUGCCGAUUCCACCACUCCUAAUCGGCAUUGAUAACAUGUACCGGACUACAUCGUCUUUGCACACAAUGGUGCAUUCGACUGAUAGCAAAUAAUGCCUCAAUUUGACACAAGAAAAGUAUAAGCAUAAACAUAAUUUUUCAAUAGCUGAAUGUCUUGUCUCGGCGUCUACCAAUCUUCUGCUUAGAUAGUAAAUCACACGCUCUCUCCCUUCAAAUUCUUGAAUGAGAGGUGAACCGAUGGCCAUAUCAUCGGUAGACAAAUAUAAUCUAAAGGGCUUUCCUUGUUGAGGUGGAACCAAAACUGGAGGAUUCGUCAAAUAAUUCUUGAUUUCAUCCAAUGCUAAUUGUUACUCCUUUCCUCACACAAAUUCUUGAUCGGCUUUUAACUUAAGUAAAGGGCUGAAAGCAUGGAUCUUACCCGACAAAUUAGAUAUAAAUCGUCUAAUAAAAUUAAUCUUGCCGAUCAAUGAUUGAUGUUUAGUUUUAUUGGUGGGAGCAACUAUUAUGUUGAUGGCAUCAAUAGAUCUCAUACUAAUUUCAAUUCCCCUUUGAUGCACCAUGAAACCAAGAAACUGUCCUGCCGAUACACCGAAAGCACAUUUAUUAGGAUUCAUCUUUAAGCCAUGUUUCCUUGUGCACUCCAAUACUUUUCGCAGAUCGACUAGAUGUUUUAUGAAAUCUCCAGACUUGAGCACCACAUCAUCAAUAUAGAUUUCUACCAACUUGCCGAUGAAUUCAUGGAAAAUAAAAUUCAUAGCCCUCUGGUAAGUAGCACUAGCAUUUUUCAAGCCAAAAGUCAUGACUAUCCACUCAAACAAUCCAACAUGACUAGGACAUCUAAAUGCAGUCUUGGGAAUAUCUUCUUCAGCUAUGAAUAUCUGAUUAUACCCCGCAUUGCCAUCCAUGAAGCUAAUAAUUCGAUGUCCAGCCACAGCAUCAACCAGCAAAUCGGCAACUGGCAUUGGAUAACCAUCCAUCGGUGUAGAUUUAUUAAGAUUCCUAAAAUCAAUGCAAACACGAAGCUUUCCAUUCUUCUUAUAAACAGGGACAAUAUUAGAAAUCCAUUCGGCAUACCGACAUUGCCGAAUAAAUUUAGCUUCAAUAAAUUUGGUUAUUUUAGCCUUAAUAUCAGGGAGAAUAUUAGGAUUGCAUCGGCGUGCUGGUUUCUGAUGCGGCCGAAACCCAGACUUAAUAGGCAACCGAUGUUCAACAAUUGAUCGGUCUAAACUAGGCAUCUCAGUAUAAUCCCAAGCAAAGCAAUCUUUAUAUUCCUUUAACAAAUCGGUUAAUUGCUGCUUACACUUAGAAUCUAACUUAGCACUAAUAAAAGUAGGUCUAGGCUUAUCGCCAUUACCUAUAUCUACUUCUACUAGAUCAUCAGCCGAUGUAAACCCCUGUCCUAACUUUCUAUCAUCGGCGAACCUAUCCAUUAAAACUCUUCAUCAGAACCGACUGCUUGGAUCAGUGGAAUUUCAUAGUCGGCAACCUUGAGAAAAUGUUUCUCCCAAACUUCCCCUGAAAUGCAUCUGGUUCUCUCAUAAGUAUCUGACUCUACCGAUGCAAUGACAUAUGAAGAAUCUCCGGGGAUAAUUUCAAUCUUGUCACCUACCCACUGAACAAGGCAUUGCUGCAUUGUAGAAGGAAUACAACAAUUUGUAUGAAUCCAAUCUCUCCCCAGUAACAAAUUGUAUGCACCUUUUCCACUGAUGAAAAAGAAAGUCGUCGGCAAAGUCUUGCUACCGAUGGUCAGUUCAACACAUAUGGCCCCUUUAACUAGAGAUACAUUCCCUUCAAAAUCCUUCAACAUCAUAUCGGUCUUGGUCAAAUCUUGAUCUCCUUUGCCAAGCUUUCGAUAGACUGCGUAAGGCAUAAUAUUGAUAGCAGCUCCCCCAUUAACGAGUAUCUUGGACAUCGGCUGCCCAUCAACCCUGCUUUUGACAAACAAAGCUUUAAGAUGCUGUCUUUCAUCAUCGGAAGGUUUCUCAAACAUGGUUGUUAUUGGAUCAAGUGCUAACAGAGCUAUCUAGUCAGGGAGAUUUACUUCUUCAUCAUCACUAAAAGGUGCAGUAAAUUCCAUCGGCAACAUAAAUACCAUGUUUACAUCUGCCGAUGACCCUUUUCCCCUAGGAUCUGACUGCUUUCGAUUUUCAGACUUAGAAGAAUUUUCUUCCCUAUUUAAUUCUUCUUGUUGUUCUCGCUGCAUCCUUCUUUUCUAUGUCCUUGUCAAUCCUUCUGGACACCAUUGGGGAAGCUGUGUCUUCUGCGCUGGUUGAUAGUGAUUCUCCCUUGAUUCUAUCCGAUGGGUGUUAGCAUCCAUGCAGAAAAUAAAUUCAUCGGGCACUCGGGCAUUUGCCAUUUCUUCAAGCUCCUCUUGGUUCCUUGGAAAAUGGUCAACACGUCUACCAAGCCUGUCAUGCAUACUGAGCCUGCCCCCAGCCGAUCAUAAACUGACAUCCUUCCCCUGAUCGGCUCAUUAAAGCGUCGAUCAUCAUUCUAGAAUCGUCGAUCUGGCCGAUCAUACCGAUUAUAGCCAUUGCAUUCAGGCAGUCUCUAACAGUUGGUAACUUGAUGCUUUGCUCCCAACAAUGAAUAAAGAAGGGGCAAUUCCAAUGAUCUUUGUGCCGAUUCCACUCUUGUCGGCGUCUUUCUUCUUCUCGGUGUCGAUCGUCUUGCUGACGGUGAUACCAAUCUUCACGUUGCUACCAUGUUUCUCGAUGUUGUCUAUGAGUGAUCACAAUGCCGGAUCGAGGAGGUCUCCUAGAGCUGCUACCCUCCUGAAUCAAACCCUUGCCCUUGGCAUCAUCGGUAGUUACCCGAUGCUGGAGAUCAACCGAUGAGUUUCUUUCAGCUGCCUCUAACAUCAAGACCUUGGUCUUACCUUUAGCGUCCAACAGGUUUGCAGGGAAAGGAUGUUGAUCAAUCUUCAUCGACUUCUAAGUUUUGGAAUUAUCAAAUUUAAUUCUCCCAGAUUCUAUAGCCGAUUGCAGCUGCUGCCUGAACACUUUCCACUCAUUUGUGUUGUGUGAUGUUGCAUUAUGCCACUUGCAAUACUUAAUUUUCUUCAAUUCUUCUGCCGAUGGGAUCACAUGAUUGGGUGACAAUUUAAUAUGCCCCUCCUGAAGUAGAAAAUCAAAUAUCCUAUCGGCCUUUGUAAUGUCAUAAGCAAACUUUUAUGGUUCUUUAUGGCCAAAAGGAUAGGACAUUGGCUUUUCGUUUCUUACCCAUUCUGCCAAGCCGAUGACUGGUUCUUCAUCAGAAUCUGAACUUGCUGCCUCAUCGACAAAUGAUAACUUUUUGUUCCAAGUUUUCCUAGGUUGAAAAGUCUUGAUGUCUUGAUUAGAAAUUCUCUGCACCAAAUGACUCAGACUUUCAAACUCUUGAGAAACAUACUUAUCUUUGAUGUGCGGCAACAAUCCUUGAAAAGCCAAAUCGGCUAGCUGUCGAUCAUCCAGAACUAGACUAUAGCAUUUGUUCUUAACAUCCCUCCGCCUCUGCACAAAGCUUUCAACCGAUUCAUCAUUGCGUUGCCUCAGCCUUACUAAAUUGGUAAUCUUCUUCUCAUGGACUCCAGAAAAGAAAUACUUGUGGAAUUGCUUCUCUAGAUCGGCCCAAGAAAUUAUCGAAUUUGGUGGUAAUGAAAUAAACCAAGUAAAUGCCGAUCCUAACAAAGAUGAUGAAAAUAAACGAACUCGUAAUUCAUCUCUGUUAGUAGGCUCUCCACACUAGAUGAUGAACAGAUUGACAUGUUACAUUGUCGACGUAUCAUCUUGCCCAGAGAACUUAGUGAAAUCUGGCACCUUGUACUGAUUUGGAAGUGGAAUCAGAUCAUAUGCAGGAGGAUACGGUGUCCGAUAAGAACAAGUAUUGACUUUGGGCUUUAUCCCAAACUGAUCUCUCAUUACUUCAGCUAUCUUAUCGGCCCAAUAGGCAUCGGCAUCCUGCCGAUGUAGAGGCUGUGGUUCUGGCACCUGCUGAUAGGCUUCCACAUGCCUCUGAGGCACACGAUCUCUAGGGAACAUAGCAUUGUCCAUAGCUUGUUGGCCACCAAUCUGUUGAGCAAUGUUCAUCGGCUGAUUGGCGGGUCCUUGAUUCUGAAAACCAUCCUGCAUCUGUCCUUGCUAAAAUCCUAUAGCCUGAUGAUUUUGUUGUGUCAUUUGUGGAAAGACAAACUACCAUGUCCAUCCAUUGUUAGCAUUCAUCAGCACAGGCCCUGCCGAUGGCUGAUAAUUAGGUGUCAUCAUUGGGUUGACAUACCCUGCCUGAGUCAUGAACCUCUGUUGCGUCGGCAAUAAAUCUGCCGAUGCAUUUGCACUUGGUGUCUGGAACGUUGGCAUCUGAAAGUUCCCAAUAAUAGGCCUUACAGUAGUAGUUGUAGAAUACUGGGGAAUCUGAGUCAUCGGUGAAAUUGGAGGUGCCGAUGUCAUAGGAGCUUUCCCUGCCAAGUUAGCCACCUGAGAUGUUCCAGAACUUUUUGCAAAAAAUUCUGGAGGCAUACCAUAUCCUCACCAAUUGGGAGGAACAUGACAGUUCUAAAAUACAGACCCCGACAUUGCCGAUGCUGAUAGAUCUGUGUUGAGUUGAAUCUGUCCAUCUGAUGUUGCUAGAUUAGUUCUAAUCGGUGUAGAUUGCACAUUACUCAUCCCUAAUGUGCUUGGCGAAGAAGUAAUUUGUGUCCCUGAAAUGGCCGGAGGAGCCGAUGGAGCCGUAACCAAUGAUAAUCCUGGCUGAUGAUAGGCCGGGCCGAUGUAUAAUGUUGGUGUUUGUCCUUCUUUGAAAGUUCUAGCCACGGCGUUGAAAACAGUAUUGGACAGUACACUAGAUUGAUUGAUCAAAGCACGAUUAAUAGCAUUGUCAACCAUAUCUUGCAAUUUACCAGGAUUGGCUUCAAACGUAAUCUGUCGGGGCAUCAGUAGUUCUAGCUUCUGGAUCACUUCACCAAUCCUGUCAUAAUGCACUAGGAAUAGAUAGAUGAGUAAGUAAAAGAUACUUAACUUGGUAACGGGGGUUGCUCUCCCCCAAGCUGGAUGUUGACAUAGUCUGCUGAGGUUGUUGAUAGGCACUGAAGGAGUACUGAUCCUCCUAGAGCGUCAUAGGUACUUGCUGUCAGAAAUAGCACUUGCCUGUUGUGGACAGUAUUCUGAUAGGGGAUCGAAUGUCCUUGCCUGUUGAUUCUUCUUGAUCCUUUGAAGCCUGUGAAGCUCAAAUAAACAACAAAGCUUGUGAAACUAAUUAAGCGUUAGUAAUAAUCCUCUAGCCUUAGAAGUCUAGAACUUUCUUAUACCCUUUUAUCUUGUAGCAGGAUUAAAAUAUUUUUAUGCUUUUUAUGGUAUGAAGACAGGUAAAUAAAUAUGCUAAAACUUAAUUUUUUGCCUCCACAGUAGAUAAGUAUGUGAGUUAUAAUCACACAUUAAAUACAUAGGGCUUAGCAAUUUUCUAGAUGCAAUGCAAAACAUAUUUAUUUUGUUUUCUAAUGCAAUAAUAAAAAAGUAAAGAUGCAAUAAAGGAAAUGCAGAUAAAUACCAAGUUACCUCUUGGCGCAGCGUUCGGUGAUUUUAUGUCCUCCAAACAGGACCUUCUUGUUUGCUCACUGAUUGAGAGGCGCAUCGGAUGGCGCCACAGGUGCUAUGUCUUGUGCAGGAUUUAAUUCUAAAUUACCUUAGGCUUCCAUACCUGCUCUGUAGGUGAUGGCGACAUGGAAGAGAGAGUUUUUGGGAUCACAAUCUCUUCUUCUGCUAGUACUUCCUCCUUGUUUUUGUCAGGGUAUCGAUCUUUGAAUCUUGAAACCUCUCCUUCAUAGUCAGCCCAUCCGUCUACAACAUUCUUCUUCUUCUUCUGGUGGUGAGUGCGUCACCUUCUUCUUGACCUAUUCUUCUUGGGAUCUUCCUCAAUUAUAUAAUUGUUAUUGAAAUACAUGCGUAUCUUCUCUGUGGGGAAUUGAAAAUGGACCUCUGUUGACGGUCCUUAAGUACUAAAAUUAAUAAUCAAAUAAACAUGAGAAAGGAUCAAUAUGAAACAAACAUCUAGAAUUAGGGUUUUAUCUGACAGAAUUCCACAAGCUUUGGUGUUUAUCUAUUUCUGCAGGGGGUUAUCAGAGAAUAUGGAGAGAAGGCCCACAUGUCAUGUUUACAACGAGAUAAUUACGUGCCGCGCAAUUUUCCACAAUCUAGAAGAGUCCAGAAGCCACGGGAAUGAACGAGAGCACGAUCGGGCUCGGGGGCAGGGCGGCCGCCCACCCCCCUUGGGCGCCCGCCCAGGGUUGGAACCCAAUCGGGACUCUGCUUCGGGACUACGCUCCACCGACCUAAAGGAUCAAUCUAAACCAUACAAUCUAUGUCGGUUUGAUCCAAUGGCUCAUGUUCACUUGAGGGGACUACAAAACCAAGGCCUACCCCCCUGGAGGGAGGAGAAGAGAAGAAAUCAUUAUUCAGAGUUAGCCAUCAAAGUUAGGGUUUAGAGCUUCUCUCCCACAGAGAAUUAGAAUUAGCUACUCCCUAAUCCUUUAAGUUUAGAGGUUUGAUUAGAUAGCAAUUAGAGAAGUAGAGCACUACGCUCUGGAUUCGGAUCUUCGGUAAUAAAGAUUGGUAUUAUUGAUAUCUUUCUCUAAUUCUUUGUUCUAAUUGCAUUAUGUCUCUAAUUAUUAUGUUCUUAGUUUGUUCUAGUUCUAUAUUUGAUAUAGUUCUAAUUGAUAAUGAGUUUAUGUAUAAGUUUCCAAAGCGCUUAGCUCUUGACGCGAGGGAGUUAGGUGAUAGAUCACAUGUGAGCGUGGUGCUUAGAUGUUAUUUAUCUGCAAAUGUAUCCUAUUGGCCGGGUCGUGUGGUAGUUCGCGAUAGUGACAGCUUCGUUGAUUCUUAUAUAGUCCACCCUCCGUUGAUAGGACAGGCAGAACCGGUAUUGUGGAGUAAGUCAUGCGAUGCUCUGAUUUACUUUAUCAAUGUUCCUUAUACAUGAAUGAAGAGUCUUUUAUGCUAUAUAUGAUCUUGUAGAUAACUAGAGUAGAUUAUGACUUAGUAGUUAGUAGAUAACUUAGAAUCCAUUCUCUAGCUAAUCCGACAUCACCUACAUAUAUGAGGAGUAGUCUAUUUUCUAAUCGCUGUGUUAUUUAUCCCUUGAACUUAUAAUUCAUUGUCAUUAUCUUUAUGGUUUACCCCCUGCUAAAGUAAGUGACUGUGUGACGAGUUUCUCAUUAGUAAUCAUGUUCUUGCAAGUUUAUCUCUAGUCUAUGCCUUGAUAGAUUUUGCCCCCUUAUUUUAAUUUCAUCCCUCGAGCAAAAUUAUAAAUAACGAUACCUGGAAUACUUAUCCUGGUGAAAUGCUACAAUGAGGUGUUUUAUCUGUGCGCUUGCGGAUAGAAUAGAUUAUUUUCUAGAGAGCCUUUACAUUUAUAAAUACCUUUGUACACUCUGGCACCAUGCUGGGGAUGACAACCUAGUAUCUAAGUGGUGUUAGCUAGUGUCAACAAGCAUUUCUGGCGCCGUUGCCGGGGACAUUAUAUGAGUCUCAGGAAUAAGUCAUAGAGGGGAACAAAAGGGUAAUACUUAGGAAUGGUAAGGAAAGCCAGAAAAUCAUUCAAGGUUAUUCAUAUAAAAUAUUAGACUAGACUAUAGAGAAAUAAUUGCAUAAAACAGCUACUAAGGGAGAAAUCAUAACAAGGCACCUCUGCUUUGGCAGGUUCACCCUGUUGUUUUUCUAUGUUUACAUUUUUAUACAGGGUAUAUCAGGAUUGACUUUGGGUACAUUCAACUCUUCAUCAUCAGAACCAAAGCAAUCAAGAGAAGAAGAAGCUAGCUACCAAUUGCUGAAGCUAUGGCACAGAAGACCCUACAAGAAUUCUCUGCUCCAAGCCUUGAGAACAUUCCAACUGGUCCAAGAUUGGCAGUAGAAGAAGGAAUACCUGAGUUUGAGCGCAAGUCAAGCCUCAUCAAUUUGGUACAAGCUAUAGAAUUCAGUGGAAAGGCACAUGAAGAUGCUAGUGCACACUUGCAGAAUUUCUUAGAGAUUGGGAGCACAAUCCACAUCAACGGAGUUGACAAAGACGUCAUACUGCUUCGCCUUUUUCCAUUCUCACUAGAAGGGAAAGCGAGGAAGUGGUUCUACACUCAUCAAGAUAACAUCAACAACUGGACGAACUUGUCAGAUGCCUUUCUAUCGAAGUUUUUCCCUAUAGGCAAAACAACUGCCUUAAGAGGAAAUAUUGUCAGUUUUCAACAGCAGAAGACAGAAGCCAUUUCAGAAGCAUGGGAGCGUUUUCAGGGAUACAUUUCAGAUUGUCCUCACCAUGGAAUGGCCACAUGGUUACUUAUGCAGACCUUCUACCAUGGAUUAACCCAGAAGGCUCGUGAGUGCCUAGAUGCAUCUGCGAAAGGAUCAUUCUUGGAGCUUACAAUUGGAAAAGCAGAGAUACUUUUGGAUAAGAUAGCAGAAAACCAAAGCUGGUUCCAAGAUAAGGCUCAACAAUGUCAUCAAACUGAAGAAAUACCGGAAGAAGUAAAUGCAUUAUCAACUAAGAUGGAAAAUUUGCUCCAUUGGAUUGACCAGAGGGCCAAGUUCAAACAAGAUCAAAGGGCCAUUGAGACAGCAUACAAAUAUCAACCAACUUCGAGUCAACCCAAUAGCAAAGGUAUGAAUUCAGGUAAUACUUUCAAGCAACUUUCAUUAAAAGAGAUAAUUGCUCAACAAACCAAAAUUAAUGAUGAAGAUAAACAAAGGCUAGAUACAAAUGAAUCAUCUCUAAAAGAUAUACACAAAAAAAUGGAUUUUCUAUUAACUGCCUUUGAUGAGCAAAACACUCUUAAUAAAAGGGUAGAGCUUAAAUUAAUAAACCUAGCUGCUGCACUGCCUGUUGCUACUAACAUUGAGCAGGUAAAGAAUAUAACUACUAGAGGAGGCAAAGCUACGAGAGAUCCCCCAUACCCAAAAGAGAAACAAAGAACAUCAGCACCAGUGCUACCAGCAGUGAUAGAAGAAGAAAGGCCAGUUGAAGCAGAAGAUCUACUGCAACCACCAAGAACUGGAGAAAUGAGGAAAGAUUUUUACGACACCAACUAUUUGCCAUUUCCUAGAAGAAACAGAAGACUGCAGUCGGAUGAGCAGUUUGGUAAGUUUGUAGAGGUCAUUCAGAAAUUAUAUGUCAACAUACCUCUGCUCUAUGCCAUACAGGUACCUACAUAUGCAAAGUACAUCAGAGAUAUUCUUAACAAGAAGAGACCACUGCCCACCACUGAGGUUAUCAAGCUGACAGAAGAGUGUAGUGCGGCCAUCCUCAACAAGCCACCAAGGAAGAAGGAAGAUCCAGGAUGCCCCACUAUUGAUUGCUCGAUCGGAAACCAACACUUCAACAAUGCACUUUGUGAUCUCGGAGCAAGUGUCAGUGUGAUGCCAGCAUCAGUCUACAAAAAGCUUGAGCAUGCAACCCUAGAACCAACAUCAAUGUGCCUACAAUUAGCGGAUCAAUCGGUUCGACACCAGUUGGGUAUCGCCGAAAACAUUCCAGUCAAGAUCAGAGAUUUCCUGGUGCUAGUAGACUUCGUAGUACUGGACAUGAGUCCUGACUCAAAAGUGUCCAUCAUCCUUGGAAGGCCAUUUUUGAGCACUGCCAAUGCCCACAUUGAUGUCGGGAAAGGAGAAAUCAAGUUCAACAUAAACGGACAAGAAGAACACUUCACAUUCAAACCCAGACUAGAGAGAGACUCUACAGUGAAGGAAGUUCAUGAAGAACCACUCGAGACACCAUCUCCGGAGGAAGGUAACUCAGAAGAUUAAAAGAUUUGGAGGUCCAGCUUGGGGGACCUAAAAAUCCCAAACCCUCACCGGGAGGUAAAUCGGUAUUUAUUCGCAUUAGUAAUUUUCUCAUAUUUAAAUUCUUGCAUAAUUAAUUCUUGCAUUAGUAAUAUAUAUUCAUAGCAUUAUUAUAAUAAUCAAAAGCCCCAUAUAAAUAAUAUUCAUGAAGUGUAACAACCCAUAUUUAUUAAUUAUUGUGGAGGCACAAAAAUAAUUUUCCAUUAUCAUUUUAAUUAAGUUUCAAUUCUCAUAGAUUUUCUUGCAUUAUAUUUAAUAGUAACCUUCUAGAAGCAUGACCCACACUCCUUGGGUCCCACAUGUCAUACACCACACCUCACAUACAUCCCAUCACAUUAUUUCAUCCACCAAUAUGUUUCCACUUACCUGACAUCUUUCCACCGACCAACCACCACCAACACAACAUUAUUUUGCGUGAGAUCAAAGCAAGGAAGCAAGUGGAGGAGGCACACCCAGGAUGGACACCAGGAGUGGGCGCCCGCCCACCUACCAAGGGCGCCCGCCCUGCUCCCUCUUCCUCCUAUAAAUAGCCACCUUCUACCUCCAUCCUCUCCACACAAGCACUCCCGAGAACCACACAAGUAUCAGUUUCCAGAAAGAGCUCUUGUAGUGAAGAAGAGAGUAGAGAGAAAGAGAAGAGUGGGAAAGAAGUUGAUAGAGAGUGACUAUCACCUAGCAAGAAGUGAUCCCGCUGUCUAAGCGGAAGUAAAAGUUGUUUAGGGGGAGGCUCUACCAAAAUAGAAACUUGUCUUGAACGACUAACCCCUGGACUACUGACAUUCCAGACAGCUGACCACUAACAUUUUCUCUCACAUUUUCCACUAGUUGUGUUUUUGCCAACUUUUGUUUAUAGGAUGUUUAAGAAGGUGAAGAAUGCAGGGAAGGCUCUCAAGAACAUUGGUACAAGGAGUUCAUCUCGACACUUCUCACACCCAUCAGAGAUGAGCGUCGACUCGACACCCACACAAGCUCCGUCAUCUUCAUCAGGUCAGCAAGUCAAGGUCCUUCUCAAGAUAGGAGACCUUGGACUGAAGACCCGAAGGGAGAAAGAAGUCUAUCAGCAGUUGAAAAACAAAGAUUUCAUUCACACCCCUACUAUCGAUCCAAUCUUACUACAAGAAACAGGUAUGGACACUGAAUUUGACUUAAUUUUCCAGAUGUUAGGUUGGACAAAUUUUUGGAACAUAACUGAGCUGGGUUCUCGUCUUCUCACCCUCGAAUUUCGUUGCACCUUACAAUAUUAUGAGGAGGGAAUUGUUUUUCGGAUGUUCAAACAGGAAAUUAUGUUGUCUUGGAGAGAGCUGAGCGACCAUCUUGGUUUCUCUUCAAGAUGCAUCCUGAACAUUGACUCCGAUUUACCCAAUUUUGAGAGACACCAGUUUUGGAGAGAAAUAUCUAGAGAUAAUUUUUAUAGUCAAGCCCGAACCAGUGAUAUGGAACACCCUACUCUUAGAAUGUUCCACAAAUGGCUUGGGUACAAUCUUUUCUAUCGUGAUGAUAUUAGGAAAGUAAGAGUAGGAGAUUUACAACUUUUAUAUGAUGCUAUUAGUAAAGUACCUACUUCACAUGUUACACUAUUAGUUUCUCAUUGGCUUAGUAUACCUAGUCUUCAGGGAUCAGUAGGAUGUACUUCACUUAUCACUCGUCUAGCCUCUAACCUUCAUUUACUAGAAAACUCAUCGUUGGACUUCAUAGAUGAGUUAAGAAUUUACCAUGGCUAUGAUACAUUUAGACAAGCUCGGAUGUUAAAGAAAGUGGGGAAUAUAAUAUAUAUGCUAUAUGAUGAUAGAGGCAAGAUUCGGUUACCUAACCCGAACCUUGGCCUAUACGUUGUCCAAAAUUUUUUGAUUGAGAUUGCAGCAACACCAGUGAACCAGAGAGCUCCACAGUGAGUGGCAUCUGAAAGGAUGACCACCCAUCGAGAACGCACCUGGUAUGGAGCUGACCCUGGACCAGAAGAAGCAGCGCACCUGCAUUAUUGCAAUUACAACCCCCGAGUCCUUCGAGACCCAUGGGUUCGACAUGCGCAACCACAAGAGCCAACAGAGGAGACAUGGCCGGAGAGCCAAGAUCACCAGUGGACAAACCCGCCUUUCCAUACGGGCAGGUACUCCACUGACCCAUAUGGAGCUUCAGGAUCCAGACCUCCGCCCCAAUUUGAUGCAGGACGAUACUCCGAUGCCUCCUACGCCUUCACGAAUGACUACUACCAAGAGGCCAGUGCUUUCUUCACUCGUACCGACAACACCCUCCUCGACAUCCAAAACACGCAAGCAGAACAUGGAAGACUCCUAGAAGAACAACAAAAAUGGAACCAGGACCAUGCUGCUGCAGUACAAGAGCUGAGACAAGAUACAACAACAAUGAAUAACAACAUCACAACUAUGAUGUGGUUCUGGAACAUCGGGUAAGACCGACGUCAACAUCCAGCUUGGGGGAGUUCCUCCCCAAUUUAUCAAGUAAGUUUUUAUUUGCUCUACUUAUUUAUUCUUUUCUAUUUUAGUAUUUUAUCUUAAAAGGAAAAACUUAGAAAACCCAAUAAAUAUUUUCUUACUUUAAUUUACUGCAUUUUAUAAACAUGAAAACAAAAUAAAAAGAGUGUGUAGAUGAGUGUGCUUUAUUUCCCUGCUAAGUUUAAUCUCUAGAAAAAUAAAAGACCAAAAAGAUACAUGAUGGAAAUAAUGAACAGUUGCUCUGGUUGCUUACUUUCAAGUACCUAGCUUUUACAUUAGAGUUCUUCCAGGAAUUAUUAAAACUGAAUUUACUAUCUUUGGGAAGCAUAAAACUAAAGUCUAGGUAAGAGAAAGGCAUGAUAUAAAGUUAAGCUCCUGUUUAUCUUGUUCCUACUACACUAAGUUCUGGAGAUUUAUUUUGAAAACUUACAAAUCACAUGAUGAGUUCCUAGCACACCAAACUACCUACCACGGCCAUAUUUGCUAUAACAUCUUUUACUACACCUACAUUGAGUUUGAUCGAGCUGUGUAGACCCUUAGGAGCUUUUCAUGUGGUUAAAUUAAGAUAUUCACUUGCACACAUCUACUACACCAUCCAUCACCAUUCAUUAAAAUUGUUAAAUAUAUAUAUAUAUAUAUAUAUAUAUAUAUUAUCACUCACUGUCCCAAAUAUUGUUAUUCUCUCUCUCUAAAAAGAUUCAGUGCAGAAGAGGCAUGGGUUAUGCAAAAAUAUGCGAGGAAAUAAAAAGGAGCAAGUGCCCGGAACCUCGAAAAAGAAAGAAAAAGAGUGAGAUGAGAGGUAAAAAUGGACAAGUGUCCGAAGUAGAAUUAGGGGUACAAAGAUGCCCACUUGAGCGGAAAAAAUGGACAAGUGUCUGACAGUAGAAUUAGGGGUAUCUACUACCCACCUGAAAAAAAAGAAAAGAAAAAGAAAAAGAGAUAGCCCAUGUUCCCCCAAAGCAAAGAUCAAGGAGGAGGAGAGAUAGCAAUAUGAGGAGCAAUGAGAACUAAGUUUUAUUAUUACUUAUACAUUUUUAUCAUCACUAUCAUUUACUCCACCACACAUGCACAUCUUGAUUUAAUUAUAUGCUGAGUUCCUUUGGAUCCAUAGCUCGAUUAGACAACAUAUGUAUGAGCUGUUUUUUUUUCACUCCUAUGAGCUCCACUUAAAUAUUCCAUUAGCUAUAGGUAAGUGACAUUAUGGUAAGGAUCCACAAAUACCACAUAUAGAGAGUGUUGACGGUCAUUAAGUAUCAAAUUUAAUUAUCAAAUAAACAAAGAAAAGGAUCCAAAUGAAAUCAACAUCUAGACUUAGGGUUUUAUCUGACAGAAUUCCAUGAGUUUUGGUGUUUGUCUAUUUCUGCAGGGGGUUAUCAGGAAAUAAGGAAGAAAGGCCCACAUGUCGGGAUUACAUAGAGAUAUCAACGCAUCGCGCAAUUUUCUACCAUCUAGAAGACUCUAGAAGCCACGGGAAGGAAGCGGAGGCCGAAAGGGGCUAGGCCCAGGGCGCCCGCCCUAAGGACCUGGGCGCCCGCCCCCCUCUCGAUUCCGUUCGGGACUAUAUAAGGAGACCCCCCUAAGGCGCCCGCCCUAAGCACACGACGUUCCACCGACCUAUUGGAUCAAGGAAAACAUAGUACCACACUGCCUACCGACCCAAAAACGCAUAGAGGAGGGGGACUAUAUAAGGAGACCCCCCUGGCCCCUGGAGGAGACAAGAAAUUAUCAUAGAGAUUGAGGGGUGCCCUCGAAGGAAAACCUCUUCUCUAAAUAAUAUUUAUUUUUAGGCUUAGCAACCAAUGUAAAGUAGAAAUAGAUCUUCUAGUUUCUACUAGAUUGAGAGAGAUAGAGUGGAGGUGUGGAUCGGAGGAAGGCCGGCCUGUCGGUGUCUACUCCGAGUUGUACCUACGGGAUCAAGUCUCCUAACCCGAGGCUUGCUUCUAAGAUUCUUCAGUAAUUCGACUUCUAAUUACUAGUAAGUUCUUGUUUUAUUAUUCUUUGGUUUAUGAGUUUACUUUAAUCCUCUUCCGGUUGAGUAUUAGAGUAAUCACUUGCUAGCGUAAACGUGGUGUUUAGGCUAGGGUACUCAUAGAUAUCCCCUGACUAGCUGGACCGUGGUAGUAGCGAGGAACGUGACAUUUCUGAGUUACCUUUGUAUCCCAUAUCUUGUUAGCAGGACGGGUAGGUUUAUAGGUGCGGGUCGAACAUCCUUUGUGGUGUCUAGAUUCCGUGAGCCUCCCCAAUAGAACAGUAGAUCAUCCUUACCAAGGUUAGAACGAGACUACGGUUGCAGUCUUCUCUAUACAUCACUCACAUCGAGAAACAUUCUUUGUAGCCUAAAUGGGUAGUAGCAAUAGAUUUGGUUAGUCAGAUACACCCUUUCUCCCAGUGGUAAAAAUAUAAAUACGAUAACUCUAGAUAACCUCCCGGGUGAAAUGCUCACCGAUAUCCGUGCGCUUGCGGAUCAUUUCCUUAUUGCGUUACCAAAUAUCAACAAGCAUUUCUGGCGCCGUUGCCGGGGACAAAGACGGUUUGCUGAGAUAACUUUGAGUCUUGCUAUUAUCUUGUAUUAUACUUUUAUUCUUUUAUCUUUUUGUUUUUAUUUUUAUGGAUAACUUAAAUUCCAUACCUAUUAUUGAAUUCUUUGCACCUUCGGAGACCAGCCAUAGACCAUGGGAGUCAACACGUCCUGCCCCUAAUUAUGAUCUGUGUCCGGAGUUGAUUGCAAUAGGUCAAAACCAACCCUUUUCUAUAGCUGAGGUCCUAUCUUUUAAUCAAGAAGAUAAUGCACUUUUAGCUACACCUAGGGAAUCUGUUAAUCUUUCUAUAAAUUCUGGUUUAGACCUAGCCCUACAAGACCAUGUUUUUCCUAGAUAUUUUCACAUUGGUCUUAAUCAUAUAACCUUUGGUAGAGUCCUUCUUUCUUUAUCUAUUAGUAAAGGAAGGUAUGUCUUCAUUUGUGGACAUCCUUCUUGCACUAGUCUUCAUAGAAAAAUCUUAGAAAUAGAGAAGGAAUCAUCUCCCAGACAAGGAAAGGAAGUUUCAAUAGCCGAUUUCCAAACAUUUCAAUCCCAUAAUUCGGCUAUCCAUCCCAUCCUUAAGCUUAAUAGUUUCUACUAUGCUCUUUCUCUUGAACCUCCCGAUAAUCCUAUGAAUCUCUCUAGACAUCCCAUGCAUAAGAAGGAGGAUCGAGAAGAGCAACAUCAAUGGCUAGAGGGCAUUAAAAAUCCAUGUGCUAUCACCAUUAAAUGGAUAGAUAAAACAAACUUGAGAGACAAUCCUAGAGGAAUUUUAAGCAUUCAUGAAGAAUCAUCCUUGGAGUUUGAGAAUGAGAGAAACAACAGUGAGCAUGGAAGUUAUUUCAUAAAUACCUCACCCAGUCCUUGCUCAUAUAAAACAUCUCUCCAAUCAAUUUGUCUCCCCAUCCUUACCACAUUUGAGAUCUCCAACCCCUUCUUCCUUUCUAUUUAUAAAAACUUUAAAAGGGCGGUUGUCGAUGCAUAUGUCUAUAAUAAAUAUUGCAGAUCUCGUUGAUCUUGAUAUAGGCACGCUUAGGUUGGUGUUGGAGGGGAAGCCACUUCACCAACAUAACUUGAUGGUUUCCCAAGGAUAAGCUUAGCGUCCUUAAACAAGCACUUAUAAGAUCGUAACAUGAACUUCUAAUUAUUUGCAACAUUGCCUUGUGUAUUGAGCAUAUAAAGAUAAUUGUAGAAAUAUUCCUUUGGAUAUUCUUGCCACUAACCUUUCUAGGAUUGGAGCAAGAAGAUCGGAUGAAUGACAAGCACAAGGUAUGUCCAACCAAUCAUCAUGCAACAUUGAAUUAAAUUCAUCCAAUCUUGAAUUCUGCAAAAUUCAAGCUUGGGGGAGUACUUUACAUAAAACAUCAUUUGCCACGUUGCUAUGUUGGUUGUCCUUACCUUUGAGACAUGCUCAAUUUGUUAAAUACUAAUUACACUACUUCAUCUCCACUUAAGAAGAUUUCUAUAAAUGCUCUCAUGCUACCUUUAUUUGCUUUAGUAUAUGUCUAGGUUUGGAAUAGUUUCAUUUAUCUCUUAAAUAUGCAUGGUGCUUAGUUUAGGAUUGAUGAUCUUACUUCCAAGGGAUUUUAAAUUAAGCAUGGUGCUUAGGUUAAAAUGCCCUCCUAAAUCAAAUUAGACAUGGUGUCUAGGUUGAUUUUUGAGCUGAUAGUAUGCUAUAGUAGAUAUUGGAUAUUUUGUUGGACUAACCCCUGUAGGAAAACUUUCAAUAUCGACCUGGGAAGUCCUGAGAUAAACUCGCAUUGGAGACAAAGAGAGGGACAUAUGAAGUUUAACAAUUUACACAAGGAAGACAUAGUUCAUAAGAGAUGAUCCAUGGAGGGUGCCACAAACACGAUGCACAACCGCUAAGAAAGGAAAGCUUCCACAAGGUGAUACUAUACCAUCACUCUUCAAGUAAGGUAACAUCUUAAGGUACACUUCAAACAAAAUAUGGAGGAGUUUUACAACUCCUAGAUUCCACCAAAUGAAGAACCGGGAUCUACGAGCACAAACACAAUGGAGAUCAGACACUUAGUUUCCUAAAGGAAAUAUUGAAGAACCUCUGUGUCCGAGUUGGUACCUUGUACGCUCCAGCAAACGUCGUGGUGAUAGAGACUGGUACUGAGGAGAGGGCACCCAUCAUCUUAGGGAGGCCAUUCCUAAACACCAGAGCUGUCAUCUAUGCUAAUGCUGCCAAGAUCAGUUUCUACAUCAAGGGGAAGAAGGAGACUUUCCUUCAAGAACAAGACUACACAAACUUCAGAGCAACCCCGACAUGAACCAAGGAAGAGGACCAACAGGAGGAACAGGAACAAGCAAAUGUGGACCGAGUCAGCUAAGAUGGUCACUGCAGCUCAAGGAGAUCAAGAUCGUCGACUCAAGUCACCUUUCUUGAUCAAGAAGGACGACCCUGGUGUUCCAAGCAUCGAGUGCACAAUCAAUGGAUACUCUUUUCAGAAGACACUCUACGACACCGGAUCUGACGUCAACAUAAUGACCGCAGUCACUUAUCAGCUCCUGCAUGGAACCAUGCCCCUACAACCAAUAUAUAUUCAGCUCCAGAUGAUUUUCAGAACAUUGACAUGGGAGAAGACGAGUACGAUCUACCUACCAUCCUUGGACGACCGUUCCUCAAACACUAUCAAAGCCAUCAUCUAUAUUGGAAAAGUCCACAUGCACUUCCCCUCUGAGAAGGUACGCCACUACUUUAAUGAUUCUAACUAUAUAGUUGAAGAUUCUAAGUAGGUCAGGACAAGAAGAAGAUAACGCAACCGCAACCAGAGGAGGCAAAUCAUCAAGGACGGAUGGGUAGACUACGAAGGAGAAGUGAUAAGGACUGAAGACAUACCACUUGAACAUAACUGUCCUGAGGAGACCGUAGCACCGAGUUAGGUGUGGAGAGAGAAGAUAGUUACACACGAAGAGGAGGCGUCGCCGGAACCACCGACUACGCCAUCCAGCGAAUCCCAGGACGACUGAAAACACAAGGAGUCCCAUUCGGAGGACUUAAAAACACCGAACGCCUUGCCAGGAGGUAAACUUAGUAGUUAUCCUUUUCCUUUCAAUUAUUCAAUUAUAGUUUGCUUAGAUAAUCAGGUUCAUGCUAUCUUAAAAAGAAAAUAAAAAUGUUAAAAAAAUAAUAGUAAGCCCCAUGUGAGUAUGCUCAUGGCAUAAAACCCAUAAGUACAUUCACUGUGGUGGCAUAAAAAUAAAAUAAAUAAGUUUUCAUCUCACAAUAAAAAUAUAAAGUGCAUGAUCCUGCUAAAUAAAUAACAUUUAUGGAGGAGGCUCAACAUGAUAAAGGCAAAGAGAUAUUUAUGCUAACACUUAACCAGUUCCACAAAGCUUUGUUGUCUAUUUGAGCUCCACAGAAUUCAAGGAUCAAAGAAGACUAGCAGACGGAGGACAUCCUAAUCGCUGUCAGGGUGCUGCCGACUUUCAAAUACACCUCCAUCACCUGCUAGCUACAUCAGAAGAAAUUACGUCAAAAUCCAGCUUGGGGGAGAGCACCCCCAUUUAUCCAGCUAAGUGUUUCUACUCGCGUUUAUACUUUACUCAAUUAAUAAAAAGAUGCAUAAUCAUGAAAACCCAAAUAAAGAUUUUGUGCUUUUAUAUAUUUUUGCUUAGUUUGCUAAAUAAAUAAAUAAAUAAAGUUUGCUAUGAACCCUCAUGAUAAACUCUCACAUGGAAAUGAUGAAUAGUUGCUCUGCCAUGACUAGUUCUAAAAAUUGAAAUCUCUCUCAAGUUUAGGCAUGACUGUUAUGAAGUAAGAUUUGCUCUAAACUAAACUUGUGGGAGGAGUACCUGAUCAAAAGUCUAAGUUGUUAACGGAUAUGAUAUGGGAAGGUUGAGCUGCUGUUUAUCUGUUCCUAGAGAUGCUAGAAUUCUGGAGAAUUUUAUCUUUAAAAUCUUUAAAAUAACACAUGAUGAGUUCCUAUAUGAUGAGAGUUUAAAUUCCUACCACAGCCAUAUAUACAUGCUUGCUAGACUUUGAGCCACAUAUUUACUUUUUACUGCUUAUGAGCAUUGAGUGUGGUCAAGCUGUGUAGACCCUUAGGAGCUUGUCAUGUGGUUAAAAUCAAGAUUCACUUGCACGUUCACUCAUACAUGCUACUUCUACUCCGGAAGUACCAUCCACAUAUAUCCACUCAUUUCCAUCUCCACAUUCACCCGAAAUUAUUCUACUCCUAAUCUGGGAGAGUUAUCUUGGUUACUACCACUUGCUACAUUCUUUCAGGAGAUGAGUGCUCUAAAAAAAUGAGGAAAUAAAAAGGGGCAAGUGCCCGGAACCUCGAAAGAAAAGAAAAAGUGAGACGAGAGGUAAAAAUGGACAAGUGUCCGACAGUAGAAUUAGGGGUACAAGAUACCCACCUGAGAGGAAAGAAAAAGAAAAUAUAGAGCAUCUCAUUCUCCCCAAAAAGCUUCAAAGUGCAAGAAAGGUAUGUAUCCCCUCAAAAGAGCAAAAGUAGAAUUAGACUUUCACCAUUGUUAUCACCGUCAUCACCAUACACCAUUCAUUCGCCACACAUGCACAUCUUGAUUUGACUUAUUGACUUGUUUCUCUGGAUCCAUGGUUUGACUAUGCAAUGUCUUGUAAGUAUGUAUUAGCUGUCUCCCACCUAUGAGC